GACGAACGCUGGCGGCGUGCUUAACACAUGCAAGUCGAACGAUGAACCCGGAGCUUGCUCCGGUGGAUUAGCGGCGAACGGGUGAGUAACACGUGAGUAACCUGCCCUUGACUCUGGGAUAACUGCGGGAAACUGUAGCUAAUACCGGAUACGACCCUCGGCGGCAUCGCCAGGGGGUGGAAAGAAUUUCGGUCAAGGAUGGACUCGCGGCCUAUCAGCUAGUUGGUGAGGUAACGGCUCACCAAGGCGACGACGGGUAGCCGGCCUGGGAGGGGGACCGGCCACACUGGGACUGAGACACGGCCCAGACUCCUACGGGAGGCAGCAGUGGGGAAUAUUGCACAAUGGGCGCAAGCCUGAUGCAGCAACGCCGCGUGAGGGAUGACGGCCUUCGGGUUGUAAACCUCUUUUGGCGGGGGACGAUGAUGACGGUACCCGCAGAAUAAGCCCCGGCUAACUUCGUGCCAGCCGCCGCGGUAA
rnacentral:rRNA from 1 species